rnacentral:lncRNA from 1 species
AUUUAAUUGAAAUUCACUAUCUGUGUUUAAAUAUUCUUAUUUGUAUUUUGCAGUAGAAGCCCAGCUGUGGGAAUCUUCUUGGGAGAAAAGUAAGCUAGCUGACUGACUUAAGUUAAUUUAUUUUCACUUGGGUAUAUGCAUUUAGAGCAGCAAGCAGGAUUGUAAUGUGUUGCUAUACAACAAUAUAAACUUCUGUAUUUUAUUUCUUUUUGUAGCAGGACGAGCCACAGACAAGAAUCCCUCAGACACCGAGUUGUGGAAGGAAAGGACUUUAUUCAGCUGGGAGUAUCGACGGACUCAUGUCUUUAAAAACCGAGCUCUCCAAAUAUUCAACAAAAAUGUCAGACAUCAGUAUUCCACAUUCAAGAACAUGCAAUGCAAAGUAUGAUUAUGGGGGAAGAAAAAGUAAGAAAUAAACAGGAGGUAGGGAAAUAAAGCUAAGUAAAAUGGAAUUUGGGGGGUACUGGGUGUUGGAUCAACUAGCUUUGGAACUGUCAGAAAAAAAGUAGUCCUAGUAAGCCAAUUGUGUUAAUCUUCUCAAGAAGAAGAGCUCAGUCAUAAAGCACCUGACUUUAGAGUCAGUCUGCCUGAACUUUUCUUGUGGUACUAAUGUUAUUUUGAAUAAUUUAAGUAAUUCUUGUGCAUCUUAUUCUAUUUCUUCUGUAAUGGGGACAAUAUCGAUCCAGAUGAAAAAGGUGUUUCAAGAAAGAAAUGAGUUAGGAUCUAUGAUGAUGAUGACGAUGAUAAUGAUGAUGUAAGUUUCUGUGAGUCUGGAUUAACAGCACAAACUCCAAGGUCUAUUGAGUAAUUAUUUAUAUUGCUCCUGCCUAGGUCAUCUGAAAAUCCAGGCACAACCCAGGCAUACUAGACCUUGACCUCACUGGAAGUGCGUGAGCAUGGGGAUGUGGUGUUUAAAGCAAGAAAACAUAGGGACAGAAAUACAAUACUGGAGAGAUCACUUGAUGUCUUUUCUGAUGGCUUUUAUCCAUGCUGCCCAAAUAAAAUAAACAAAUUUCCCUGAUAGUUUACAAUGUCAUUAAUUUUUUUAAAAAUUUUAUACUUGGUUUGUAUUUAUCAGGAUUGCUCUAGUGUUCCUCUGAUCUAAACUAGCUGCUUCUGUGCUUUUUCUACUUAAGCCAUUAAUAUGCUAGUAAAC